AUGGAGACCGAGAACAGGAUCAUUGUGUAUCCAUGGACGACUCAUACACUAGAUGGAACAGGGACAACGGUAACGGUCAGGCCCGAAUCGAUUUCGCUAACGUCUGAGAGUCCUGAACUACAAAGAACACUUUCUGGCACAGCCAUUUUAAGAUGCCAAUAUGACGUCAAUUGUCGCAACACUUUACACUGGUAUCGGCAGCUUCCAGGACAGGCCCCCAUAUUCCUGUUCCAGGGGCAAACCUUUGGAGCACAGGAUAAAAAAAAUAUUGCCGGAGAACGAAUUAUUGGCUUUGUCGAUCCUGCUAAGAAAAUCAGCCAACUGACUAUCUCCAAAGUUCAACUGAGCGACGCUGCUGUGUACUACUGUGCAAUGAGUCGGUUGUCAGCACUGUGA